rnacentral:rRNA from 1 species
UACGGGGGGGGCAAGCGUUGUUCGGAAUUACUGGGCGUAAAGCGCGCGUAGGCGGGUGGACAAGUCUCUCGUGAAAGCCCACGGCUCAACCGUGGAAUUGCGGGAGAUACUGUCUGGCUUGAGUCCGGGAGAGGAGGGUGGAAUUCCCAGUGUAGCGGUGAAAUGCGUAGAUAUUGGGAGGAACACCGGUGGCGAAGGCGGCUCUCUGGACCCGUACUGACGCUGAGGCGCGAAAGCUAGGGGAGCAAACGGG